UACGAAGGGGGCUAGCGUUGCUCGGAAUCACUGGGCGUAAAGCGCACGUAGGCGGAUUGUUAAGUCAGGGGUGAAAUCCUGGAGCUCAACUCCAGAACUGCCUUUGAUACUGGCGAUCUCGAGUCCGGGAGAGGUGAGUGGAACUGCGAGUGUAGAGGUGAAAUUCGUAGAUAUUGGGAAGAACACCAGUGGCGAAGGCGGCUCACUGGCCCGGUACUGACGCUGAGGUGCGAAAGCGUGGGGAGCAAACAGG
rnacentral:rRNA from 1 species